UCGUGCAAUACGUCAGAGAUGGUCAUAUUUACGGGACUUAUGAUGCAUUGUACCUCAUGAGCGGUAGAGACUUGGCCAGUAUUCGGAGCAAUGGCUACGUUGACAAGAAUGUAGCAGGACUUGCGUACGUGGGCCAAGUAUGCACCAUACACGCAGUCGCCGAGGGUGAAGAUGUUGCAAGGUCAUAUGCCGGCGUUCACACAAUGGCGCAUGA